rnacentral:rRNA from 1 species
GACGAACGCUGGCGGCGUGCUUAACACAUGCAAGUCGAACGGAAAGGCCCGCAUCAUUUUUGUGGUGGGGGUGCUCGAGUGGCGAACGGGUGAGUAACACGUGGGUGAUCUGCCCUGUACUUCGGGAUAAGCUUGGGAAACUGGGUCUAAUACCGGAUAGGACCAUGGUUUAGUGUCUCAUGGUGGAAAGAUUAUUGUUUUGGUGCAGGAUGAGCUCGCGGCCUAUCAGCUUGUUGGUGGGGUAAUGGCCUACCAAGGCGUCGACGGGUAGCCGGCCUGAGAGGGUGGACGGCCACAUUGGGACUGAGAUACGGCCCAGACUCCUACGGGAGGCAGCAGUGGGGAAUAUUGCACAAUGGGCGCAAGCCUGAUGCAGCGACGCCGCGUGGGGGAUGACGGCCUUCGGGUUGUAAACUCCUUUCGUUAGGGACGAAGCCACACUUUUUUUGGGUGUG